rnacentral:rRNA from 1 species
GACAGAGGGUGCAAACGUUGUUCGGAAUUACUGGGCGUAAAGCGUGUGUAGGCGGCUACGCAAGUCGGAUGUGAAAGCCCCGGGCUCAACCCGGGAAGUGCACCCGAAACUGCGUGGCUCGAGUACCGGAGAGGUUGGUGGAAUUCUCGGUGUAGAGGUGAAAUUCGUAGAUAUCGAGAGGAACACCGGUGGCGAAGGCGGCCAACUGGGCCAGCACUGACGCUGAGGCGCGAAAGCUCGGGGAGCGAACGGG